CAGGGGCUCCGAGUGGGCCCAGCAAUGAAAGCCCUGGCACCCACCAAGUGCAGCCCCUCUGGGAGGGAAUGGCCCCAGGGGCUCCCUUCACAAAGCAGGCAGAAGCCCCCACUGGCAGCAGCAAAGAACUGAAACAACACAGCCAGGCUUGAAACCUGAAAGAUCUGCAAGGCUGAGUCUAUCCUAGUUAAUGGUGAAAUGAUGUGUGAAUCUGUCCUAGAUGUUCAAAUAAAGAAGAUUGAUUCACAGUUAUAA